rnacentral:rRNA from 1 species
GAUGAACGCUGACAGAAUGCUUAACACAUGCAAGUCAUUGGCGAAGCUGCGCUUGCGCAGUCUAGCCAAGGCGGACGGGUGAGUAACGCGUAAGGAACUUGCCCUGCAGACAGGGAUAACAGACGGAAACGACUGAUAACACCUGGUAUUGUCAGGCUGGCGCAUGCCGGCCUGAUGAAAGGAGACGCUGCAGGAGAGCCUUGCGUCCUAUUAGCUAGUUGGUGGGGUAACGGCCCACCAAGGCGAUGAUAGGUAGCCGGCCUGAGAGGGUGAACGGCCACAAGGGGACGGAGAUACGGCCCUUACUCCUACGGGAGGCAGCAGUGGGGAAUAUUGGACAAUGGGGGCAACCCUGAUCCAGCAAUUCUGUGUGCACGAAGAAGGUUUUCGGAUUGUAAAGUGCUUUCAGCAGGGAAGAAGAAAGUGACGGUACCUGCAGAAGAAGCGACGGCUAAAUACGUG